rnacentral:rRNA from 1 species
CCUACGGGAGGCAGCAGUGAGGAAUAUUGGUCAAUGGACGAGAGUCUGAACCAGCCAAGUCGCGUGAAGGAUGACUGCCCUAUGGGUUGUAAACUUCUUUUAUAUGGGAAUAGAAUGUUCCACGUGUAGGCUUUUGUAUGUACCUUAUGAAUAAGGAUCGGCUAACUCCGUGCCAGCAGCCGCGGUAAUACGGAGGAUCCGAGCGUUAUCCGGAUUUAUUGGGUUUAAAGGGAGCGUAGGUGGAUUGUUAAGUCAGUUGUGAAAGUUUGCGGCUCAACCGUAAAAUUGCAGUUGAAACUGGCAGUCUUGAGUACAGUAGAGGUGGGCGGAAUUCGUGGUGUAGCGGUGAAAUGCUUAGAGAUCACGAAGAACGCCGAUAGCGAAGGCAGCUCACUGGACUGCAACUGACACUGAGGCUCGAAAGUGUGGGUAUCAAACAGGAUUAGAUACCCUUGUAGUC